rnacentral:rRNA from 1 species
CCUACGGGAGGCAGCAGUGGGGAAUAUUGCGCAAUGGGCGAAAGCCUGACGCAGCGACGCCGCGUGAGGGAUGAAGGUCUUCGGAUCGUAAACCUCUGUCAGCAGGGAAGUACGGUCACUGUGCUAAUCAGCAGUGAAUUGACGGUACCUGCAAAGGAAGCACCGGCUAACUCCGUGCCAGCAGCCGCGGUAAUACGGAGGGUGCGAGCGUUAAUCGGAAUUACUGGGCGUAAAGCGCUCGUAGGCGGUAUGUCAAGUCAAGGGUGAAAUCCCCGCGCUCAACGUGGGAACUGCCUUUGAGACUGGCAGACUGGAGUGUGUGAGAGGAUAGUGGAAUUCCAGGUGUAGGAGUGAAAUCCGUAGAUAUCUGGAGGAACAUCAGUGGCGAAGGCGACUAUCUGGCACAUAACUGACGCUGAGGAGCGAAAGCGUGGGUAGCAAACAGGAUUAGAUACCCUUGUAGUC